ACAUCCAGAGAACUUAGCAGAGAUGCUUUUGGUGCCUUCGGGAACUCUGAGACAGGUGCUGCAUGGCUGUCGUCAGCUCGUGUUGUGAAAUGUUGGGUUAAGUCCCGNAACGAGCGCAACCCCUAUCCUUUGUUGCCAGCGAUUCGGUCGGGAACUCAAAGGAGACUGCCGGUGAUAAACCGGAGGAAGGUGGGGAUGACGUCAAGUCAUCAUGGCCCUUACGAGUAGGGCUACACACGUGCUACAAUGGCGCAUACAAAGAGAAGCGACCUCGCGAGAGCAAGCGGACCUCAUAAAGUGCGUCGUAGUCCGGAUUGGAGUCUGCAACUCGACUCCAUGAAGUCGGAAUCGCUAGUAAUCGUAGAUCAGAAUGCUACGGUAAAUACGUUCCCGGGCCUUGUACACACCGCCCGUCACACCAUGGGAGUGGGUUGCAAAAGAAGUAGAUAGCUUAACCUUCGGGAGGGCGUUUACCACUUUGUGAUUCAUGACUGGGGUGAAGUCGUAACAAGGUAAGCGUAGCGAG
rnacentral:rRNA from 1 species